rnacentral:lncRNA from 1 species
CAAGAUCUCACUGAGUUAGGUAAAACCCAGAGCCUUGUAACCGCUGUCCCAGGGGAGAGUUUAUCACCAUGAUGGACUUGUGCUGACUCGGGUCUGGUUCUCAGAUUCAGAAAGCUGGGUUUGUCAACACAUCUCAGGCAAAUGUAUUUUUCAUGACAUUGAUUUUAAACCCAGAACAAAGGUCAAGGUCUACAGCGCUUAUUUGAACCAGUUACAUAUCUCAUUUUCAUAACAGUCCCUGGAGGCUACAGUCACACAUGGUUAUUUCAGCUUUCAUGAAAGCAAUACAGUACAGAAGCCAGGGCUGUCAUAGAAAACAGGACAGUGACAAUUUCAUUUCCUCUCACAGUGACAAGACUCUCUCAGAAAAGCUUGACAUCCGAUGUCAUCAAUGUGCUAUGGAUAUUUGCCUCAUCCUGGGAACUAAACUCUGUUCACUCAGUCCAGUUGCCGUGGCAAUGUAUGUCAAGGUAAAACUAGCUAAGAACGUCAAAAUUAGUUUGUGUGGCUUAAACGGAAAAAAAUAUUGAGAAUCGUUCAAAUAUUU